AGCAGCCGCGGUAAUUCCAGCUCCAAUAGCGUAUAUUAAAGUUGUUGCAGUUAAAAAGCUCGUAGUUGAACUUCAGGCCUGGCUGGGCGGUCCGCCUUCCGGGUGAGUACUGCCUGUGGUCGGGUCCUACCUUCUGGCGAAGCGUCAUGGCCUUAACCGGCCGUGGCGGGGAACCAGGACUUUUACUGUGAAAAAUUAGAGUGCUCAAAGCAGGCACGCGCUUGAAUACAUUAGCAUGGAAUAAUGGAAUAGGACAGUGGUUCUAUUUGUUGGUUUCUAGGACCGUUGUAAUGAUUAAUAGGGAUAGUUGGGGGCAUUAGUAUUCAAUUAUCAGAGGUGAAAUUCUUGGAUUUAUUGAAGACUAACUACUGCGAAAGCAUUUGCCAAGGAUGUUUUCAUUAAUCAAGAACGAAAGUUAGGGGAUCGAAGACGAUCAGAUACCGUCGUAGU
rnacentral:rRNA from 1 species